GAAUGGGUUCGGGCUUAGGUUAUAGGUUUUGGUUUUGGUUUAGGUUAUAGGUUUUGGUUUAGGUUAUAGGUUUUGGGAUUUGAGAAUGGGUUCGGGUUUAGGUUAUAAGUUAUAGCUUGGAUUUUGGUUUUGGUUUAGGUUUUGGGAUUUGAGAAUGGGUUCGGGUUUAGGUUAUAAGUUUUGGUUUUGGUUUUGGUUUUGGGAUUUGAUAAUGGGUUCGGGUUUAGGUUAUAGGUUUUGGUUUUGGUUUAGG